GCAAGUCGAACGAGGUAGCAAUACCUAGUGGCGCACGGGUGAGUAACGCGUGGAUAAUCUGCCCUUCACUGGGGAAUAACUAAUCGAAAGGUUAGCUAAUACCGCAUGAGGCCACAGUUUCUGAGGAAGCAGUGGUUAAAGAUUUAUUGGUGAAGGAUGAGUCUGCGUGGGAUUAGCUAGUUGGUGAGGUAAUGGCUCACCAAGGCUACGAUCUCUAACAGGUCUGAGAGGAUGACCUGUCACACUGGAACUGAGACACGGUCCAGACUCCUACGGGAGGCAGCAGUAGGGAAUAUUGCGCAAUGGACGAAAGUCUGACGCAGCGACGCCGCGUGAGUGAUGAAGGCCUUAGGGUCGUAAAGCUCUGUUGCAGGGGAAGAAAAAAAUGACGGUACCCUGCGAGAAAGGAUCGGCUAACUUCGUGCCAGCAGCCGCGGUAAGACGAGGGAUCCUAGCGUUGUUCGGAAUCAUUGGGCGUAAAGCGCAUGUAGGCUGCCAUUCAAGUCAGUUGUGAAAGCCCCGGGCUCAACCCGGGAAGUGCUUCUGAUACUGUUUGGCUUGAGUACUAGAGAGGAUAGUAGAAUUCCAGGUGUAGUGGUGAAAUACGUAGAUAUCUGGAGGAAUACCGGU
rnacentral:rRNA from 1 species